AUUAAAUAUUGUGAUAUUAAGAAAAGUUAAUAUAUACAUAUGUUAAAUAAAUUGUUUGUUUAUAAAGUAUUAAUGGUAUAGAUUUAAUGUUUAGUUUAAAGUACUGUAAAGGAUAUAUUUAUUUUUGUUUUAUAGUAGAUUAUAAGUUCGUACCUUUUGUAUAAUGGGUUGAUGAUAUAUAAGUUUUUAAUAGAAAUGGUCUCGAAGUGAAAAGAUUUACUUAAUGAAAUAUUAUGUUAACGUUGUAUAGUUAUAUAUUUAGUGUUAGGUGGUAAUGAUAUGUUUAUCGGUUUUUAUGAUAGCUAGUUUAUUGGUUUAGAACAUUUAAGUGUUAUAGUAUUAAUAUAAUUAAUGUUAUUUAUUUAAUAUUAGUUUAUUGUAUGGGGGAUAAGCUUCAUAUUGUAGAGGUAGAAUUAUGUUAUAUAAUUUAAUAAUUAAAGUAGGGUUAAUAGUGUUUUUCUUUUUAAGUAAUUUAGAUUAUAAUAAAAAUAUGUAAUAUUUCAAGUAUAUAAUGUAGCCAUAAAUGCUUGUAAAUUAUAGUUGAGUAGAUAUAAUGUUAAUAUGAGUAUUAAUAUAUAUUAUGAAUUUGUUUAUUUUUAAUUGAGGAUAAUAAAUUAAUGUGUUAGUAUAAUAUAAAAUAAGGUAAAGGAAUUCGGCAAAUAUUAAUCUCGCCUGUUUAUCAAAAACAUCUCUCUUUGUAAUUUUAUAUAUAAAGAGUUGGACCUGCUCGGUGAAUAUAAUUUUAACAGCUGCGGUAUUUUAACUGUACUAAGGUAGCAUAAUAGUUUGCCUUAUAAUUUGAGGCUGGAAUGAAUGGUUUGACGAAGGUUAAUCUGUCUCUAUUUUAUUUAUUAGAAAUUAAUUUUUAAAGUGAAAAAGCUUGUAUUUUUUAAAGGGACGAGAAGACCCUAUUGAGCUUAUAAUUUUGGUUUUAUUAUAUAAAUAAAGUAAUAUGAUGUAAAUUUUAGUUGGGGUGAUUAAGGAAUAAAAAUUUUUUUAUGGUAACUUCCUUAAAUAUAAACAAAUAGAUAUAUUAGGUAACCAAUACUUAUAUUGCUUAUAUUAUAGUUACCAUAGGGAUAACAGCGUAAUUUAUUUAGAGAGUUCUUAUUAAAAAAUAAGAUUGCGACCUCGAUGUUGGAUUAAAGUGACCUUAAGGUGUAGAAGCUUUAAAGGUAAAUCUGUUCGAUUUUUAAAACUUUACAUGAUCUGAGUUCAGACCGGCGUGAGCCAGGUUGGUUUCUAUCUUUUGAAAUGUGUAUAUUUCUUUUAGUACGAAAGGACCAAAGUAAAUUAAAUUAUUAAUUAUAAUAUUAAUGUUUGUAGAGCUAAUAUUUAAAUUAGAGGAUGAGUUUAAUUAUUCACAUUAGUAA
rnacentral:rRNA from 1 species